rnacentral:rRNA from 1 species
UACGUAGGGGGCGAGCGUUGUCCGGAUUUAUUGGGCGUAAAGAGCUCGUAGGCGGUUCGGCAAGUCGGAUGUGAAAUCUCCACGCUUAACGUGGAGGGGCCAUUCGAAACUGCCGUGACUCGAGUCCGGUAGGGGAGUGGCGGAAUUCACGGUGUAGCAGUGAAAUGCGUAGAUAUCGUGAGGAACACCAGAGGCGAAGGCGGUUACCUGGACAGUUACUGACGCUCAGGCACGAAAGCAUGGGGAGCAAAAGGG